AGGUUUCUAGAAUCCAACACUACC
rnacentral:siRNA from 1 species